GUCCCUGUAGCGCAAUGGAUAGCGCGUUGGACUUCUAAUCCAGCGGUCGUGGGUUCGAAUUCCACCUGGGAUG
rnacentral:tRNA from 1 species